rnacentral:rRNA from 1 species
GGAUGCGAUCAUACCAGCACUAAAGCACCGGAUCCCAUCAAAACUCCGAAGUUAAGCAUGCUUGGGCGAGAGUAGUAAUAGGAUGGGUGACCUCCUGGGAAGUCCUUGUGUUGCAUUCC